UACGUAGGGUGCAAGCGUUGUCCGGAAUUAUUGGGCGUAAAGAGCGUGUAGGCGGCCCGAUUAGUCCGCUGUGAAAGUCCAGGGCUCAACCCUGGAACAGCUUUCGAAACUGCUGAGCUAGAGUACAGAAGGGGCAACCGGAAUUCCCAGUGUAGCGGUGAAAUGCAUAGAUAUGUCACAGAACACCAAUUGCGAAGGCAGCUUACUAAAGUAUGAUUGACGCUGAGGCACGAAAGCGUGGGGAUCAAACAGG
rnacentral:rRNA from 1 species